GGACCAUAGAUCAAUUGUAGAGCAUCUGCUUUGCAUGCAGAAGGUGCCAGGUUUAGUCCCUGGUAUCUCCA